UACGUAGGUGGCAAGCGUUGUCCGGAUUUACUGGGCGUAAAGAGCGCGCAGGCGGUCGGAUAAGUCGAAUGUGAAAGCCCCUGGCUCAACCUGGGAAUGGCAUCCGAUACGGCGGGGCUGGAGUGUGGGAGAGGUUGGUGGAAUUCCCGGUGUAGUGGUGGAAAUGCGUAGAGAGUCGGGAGGAACACCCGUGGCGAAGGCGGCCACCUGGGCCGACCCUGACGCUGAGGCGCGAAGGCGUGGGGAGCGAACGGGAUUGAGAAACCC
rnacentral:rRNA from 1 species